AUUGAACGCUGGCGGCAUGCUUUACACAUGCAAGUCGAACGGUAACAGGCCGCAAGGUGCUGACGAGUGGCGAACGGGUGAGUAAUGCAUCGGAACGUGCCCAGUCGUGGGGGAUAACUACUCGAAAGAGUAGCUAAUACCCCAUACGAUCUAUGGAUGACAGCGGGGGACCGUAAGGCCUCGCGCGAUUGGAGGGGCCGAUGUCAGAUUAGGUAGUUGGGGGGGUAAAGGCUCACCAAGCCAACGAUCUGUAGCUGGUCUGAGAGGACGACCAGCCACACUGGAACUGAGACACGGCCCAGACUCCUACGGGAGGCAGCAGUGGGGAAUUUUGGACAAUGGGCGCAAGCCUGAUCCAGCAAUGCCGCGUGCAGGAAGAAGGCCUUCGGGUUGUAAACUGCUUUUGUACGGAACGAAACGGCUCUGGUUAAUACCCGGGGCUAAUGACGGUACCGGAAGAAUAAGCACCGGCUAACUACGUG
rnacentral:rRNA from 1 species